CUUCAGUGGGGUUGGGGUGCAGGAGAGGGCUGUGGCCGGAGGUCCGGGAGGGGGCGUGGGCUUCCAGUAACAUUUUCCACAGCUCCCAGGAAAUAGCCACCAGAACCAGUGGAAAACCGUAUGGUGCCCUCACAGCUGCAGGCUCACCCCUCACCACUCCCAUUAGUUGCAUUUCCCAGUACUUGGGCUGAGACCAAAGCGUGGACCCUCUCAGUUUCUGGCCACCCUAAUGGCUGGGAGGUCACAGGAACCUGGCAGCCCUUUCUGGAAGCCUACAGAACCAGGGUUAACUGGAGGCAGGUAACCACCUGGAGACAGCCUGGAGUAGCGUUUGAUCUGGAUUAUGCUAAACAAUGAUAACAAGAUAACAGAAAACUAUUUAUCCAGUGACCAGUAUGUCUGCCUUCUACUACCCAUAGUACCCAGCUAGCCUGGGUCUCUCACAGUACACAGCUGCACCAGCUGCUCGUGCAGGGUGCACCACCCUGCCCGGGACAUGCUCCCGCACCCGCGGCCUGCUCCGGACCACCACCACGCGUCAGGAGUACUGGGACCAGAAUCUGGAGGCCCUGCACCGCACUGUCGAGGCCUGGAUGUGGGAAGACCUGCAGUUCCUCCGGAAGCAGCUGGCUGAGGACUGAGCCAGAAACGCUAACCUGCAGGCCCUGCUGCAGAGCAUGUUGCCCUGUGCCGGUCCUGUGCCUGCUGCCCCCCCAACAACUGUCCCUCCUACCACUCCUGCCCCCCCUCACCUCUUCCUCCUCAACUUCCACACCCUCCUCCUCAAUGUCCACACCCCACACCUCAACCUCUGCACCCUCCACCCCAUCCCCCUGGGGACGCUGAGGCCCCUUCCCUUGCCAUGCUGGGAGACGGUUGGCCCGGCGAGACCCCCACGCCAUAUUCCUGAGUUCCCCUCCCCCUUCUUCCUCUUGCUUUCCCCUUCCAGCUCCCUCCUCCCAG